rnacentral:lncRNA from 1 species
UUCAAUUUUGCUUUAAUAUUGUUAUUUUUCCUUUGAGAUUCCUUUUCAUACUUGGCAUUAUAGUUUCUCAUUAGUAAAUUAGGAUUUACCAUGUUUUAGUUCUUUCAUAAAUAUGUCACUUUCUUAUUUUAGUUUCUAGCUUAUUAGGUUUUUGUUUUACAUAUUCUUUCUUCAUUGUAUCUGGUUCAUAACAGUAGGUAUUAGUUUCCUUUAUUCAUACAUCAUUUAGACAGGUUUAGUCAUGCAUUUGUAUUCAGCUUCUUUAAUUUUUAACAAUUCAUUUUAUUUCCCCACCUAGUUUUAGUAAAUAAGUAAUUAGGUUAAAUUCUACAAUUCUAUUCUUAAUAAGAACCAAGUCCUUGAAUUAGAC